rnacentral:rRNA from 1 species
UACGUAGGGUGCAAGCGUUAAUCGGAAUUACUGGGCGUAAAGCGUGCGCAGGCGGUAAUGCAAGACAGAUGUGAAAUCCCCGGGCUCAACCUGGGAACUGCAUUUGUGACUGCAUUGCUGGAGUGCGGCAGAGGGGGAUGGAAUUCCGCGUGUAGCAGUGAAAUGCGUAGAUAUGCGGAGGAACACCGAUGGCGAAGGCAAUCCCCUGGGCCUGCACUGACGCUCAUGCACGAAAGCGUGGGGAGCAAACAGG